UUAUGGGGACAGUUCGAGAGAACGUGCAGCGCGUGUAUCGCGCGCUCUCGUGAUAUCGUUCGAACGAUUCGAUGUGAUGCGUCCUUUCUAAGCUGCUCUGUCAUGCACUCAGCUGAAGGCGACAGCGCGCCGGAAGGCCCUCAAGAUCACCAGCUGAAGCUUCGAGUAUGGUGGAUCCUGUCGGACCCCGAUGAAUGCCACGACAGGUACCUAGAGGAGUAUCAGCGGGCAGGGCCUGCUGCGUGACGUAGACGCAACAUUUUCAUUCGGCAACUUCUGCUGCAAGCAGAGCAGGAACCUUUACGAAGAAUCAAUUUACCAGGUGCAUUGUACCAUAGAGUGGCCUGGCAUCACCUAGUGGUUUGGCCCGUCCACUAAACACCUACAGGUGCUGAUAAAUGAAAAGAACUGCUUCAUGGAGCUAUACCUUUACCUCAAUACACCGCCGAUGCUGAUGGGCGAAGUGGUGAGCGAUUCCAACAACAAGGCCUGGCAGCACAGCGGCGGCAGCUCCGCUCCGCUGGGAGCGCUACCUUGCCAUUAGAUAUCAACUGCAUCAGCGGUGCUGUGUGCACGGCCUCCCUCUGCGGAGGCCUCUUCCUAAAGCUGGUUGUUCAAGAGCACUCCCUGGCAAGGAGCGUGGUUGGGCGGUUCUCAGAAUUCUGCCCAUAGGACACUGAUCUGCUACACCCAUUGGGACUUAUUUGUCCAAAGAUGCGGCGUUCAAGUGGAGUCGCGAGAUUCAGGUCCACUUCGAGAACAGGAUUCUGCGAAAGUUCAACAGCGAGUUCGCCAUCCGUGUGUCAUUCAGUGACGACAACCUAGACAAGCUGUCGUUCACACUGAAUUCAACUUCCUGGCACCUUCCAUGAGUCAGCUUCGUGACCACGGGUACGGUGUGAGAAGAGCAGUUUGUGCUUGUUAGUAGUGCAAGAACUCAAUAUAAUGAAUGUGUAUAUAAUAAAGCGAUGUUCGGAUAU
rnacentral:lncRNA from 1 species